rnacentral:ncRNA from 1 species
GAUUUCUGCCCGGCACUCUGAAUGUCACAGUGAAGAAAUUCAAGAAAGGGUGGGUAAAGGUCGGAGUAGCUAUGACUCUCUUAAAGUAGCCAACACCUUGUCACCUAAUCAGUGACACGGGUGAAUGGAC